GUGUGGCUAGGGUUGUUUUCUGAGGAAGUAGGUUUCAGGACGUGCUUUACGCUGCUCGCAGGGCGUCCUCCUCCUUGUCUCUCUCUAUUCUGUUGUUGCUUUCGUUUUUCUUUUUUUUUUUUAGUUUCGUUCCGUGAACCGCCAGCUGCACAGAGCAGUUGCGCUUCGGUACAAGGAGGGAGGUGGCUCUCGGGGGACCCACCCACCCGCACCUUCAUUCACCACACUUUCGCGUACGUAGCCGCAUACACACAGACUCUGACAUAAUGGAGAAGGUUGUUCUUACUACGUACCGCAAGCUGUACAAGAUGUGCCGCCGCGUCGACGCCAGCGUGGCGAUGCGGACACAGCUCAUGUGCUGCCCGUUACAGGUGUACGACCAUCGCAUGAUGGAAUGGCAGCCGUUCAACAUUAGCGAGAUGAAGUGGGCCGAGUCACGCACCUUCCUGGAUGCGUUGAUUCGGCGGCUGAAUAACGGGAGUCCGCAAUACAUCCCGCCGCUGCCACAGGAGACGACGCGGGCGGUGGAGGCGUACAAAGAGCAGUGUGCGUCCAUGUUCACGGCGGCGAAGGGAAAUGCCGAUGGCGCCGCCGCCAGCGACGAAGGUGCACCUGCCACCACCUCAGCAGCAGAAGAGGCCGCCGGUGCUGAGGCCGCUGCUGCGUCUGGCUCUUCCACCGCAUCGCUGGGAGGCGCACGCGGCACCACCGUGCCAUUAUGCGUGCUACCCUACAGUACUCUAACCGUGGCGCUCCGGCAAAUCUAUGAGGCCACGCCGUUCUCUAUGAGCAACAUCACCAAUGCCUUUGCAGCGGUGAAGGAGCUGCAGUACGUGUGCGACCUGGAUAACGCCGGAAAGACGAAGCUGGUAACGAUGACCGCCGGCUCGUCCUCGACCUCCUCUGCGGAGGCUGCUGAUGUGGCGCCGCUGCAGCGAACACUGGAUGUGAUGCCGCUGCACAACUCUCUCAUUCACGGCCUCAGCUCAGAUCAGCGAGUCUCGCUAGACCGCCAGACGCGCCGCGCGAGGAAGUGUUCCUCUGCGUCGCGCGACAACGACGGUCCACCGGUGAUGAUCGCGGCUACAGCAGCGGCCGCAGCCUCAAGGGCAGCAAUGGCUCCUGAGGCGGCACCCACGUCUGCGGAAAACGCUUUCGACGGCGCUCCUGACGUGGAAGGGGGAGCCGAUUUCACGGGCGAGGGCGGCGACAAGGCGGAGGGGAGUGAAAGGGCCGAGUGCAGAAGCGCGCCCGAGGAGAGCAGGGUGCCGUCCGGCGAGGAGCUGAGCGACAUCCUCCCUGCUCAGGCGGAGAUGGCGAAGGAGCCCAAGGAGGUGCAGCUGCUUCUUUCUCACCCCACCGCACGCGGCUUCUUCCGACGCACGGUGCUGCUCAUGGUGCGCCACGUCACGCACGAGUCCGCAGCGCUUGUGCUCAACAAGCCCCUUCGCAACGAGGAAGGGCUGGAGAUGACCAUCGAGGCAACGGUUCGACUGGGCCGCGUGCAUCCAAUCUUCCGCCGACAUCUGGCGCAACACACACUGAUGAUUGGUGGCCCGGUCAUGUCCGGCAGCUCUUUCGACGACAGCAUCUUCCUUCUCCACCGAGUGCCCGGGGUCCCGCACGCGCUGCCUCUCGGGUCAAACCUGUGGCUGGACGGCGACCUCGACGUCCUCAUGGCGAAGCUGGAUGCGGAGGAGGCUUCGGCGGAGGAGGACAUUGUCGUCUUGUGCGGCUUUGCGGGGUGGGGCUUCGACCAGCUCAAGGGUGAGCUGGGCCACGGCUACUGGGUGGUCGCCAGCGGCCCUAGCGCUGACGCGUCGGUGGGUGCGUUUGUGAUGUCCCUUGCCCGCACGACGAGGGGCCAGUCCCAGCACCAACAGAAGCAGCAGGCGCCCAACACCGGUGCCGCCCCUGCGUCGUCUUGGGCGAAUGAGAAAGAGUCCGCGCGGGUCGCCGGUGCGGCAUCGGCCGGCGCCGAGAGUGGCUCUCCUGAGCAGGGGCAAGCAGCGGCGCCAGCGCUCGAGGACACGGUGAAGACGGAGGAGAGCAUCCGUGCUGAGGCGCAGCACGCUGCCGACGCAGCUGCGUCACCGGCGCUUACGUUCCUCAAGCGCCGCCGUCGUCGUGCCGCCGACUUUGGCAAGGUGCGGAGUGGGCACAUUGAGACUCUCUCGUGGGUCCGUGCGUACGCGUCGGUGGGGCAGCCGUAUGCAGACAUGGCUAUCAAUCAAAAGGCGUUUGCAGAGGAUGACGACUUCCAGGAGUAAGCGCACUCUGACUCGGAGAGGGGGGCUGGGGCGACAAGGGGCUGUGGAAAGGGAGUGAAACGAGGGGUGGGUGGGUGGGGUGGGGUCAUUUUCCAGGCCUGCCCAGGCGCGUGUGCGCACAGCUGUAUGGGUGGCGAGGCAUACUGCCGCCGUUUCCCUUCUCGUGCCCCUCUUCGCUCUUUUUUCCGCUGACUUGGGCUGCUGCUGCUGCCCCCUUCCCUUCCCUUUUUUCCCGCACCUCCGUCAGUUGCUUCCACACACCCUCUGCGGACACGACUCGUUGCUUUCUACUUCUCCAUGGGUCACCUCUCACCGCCUUUCUCUGAUUGUUGGCCCACGCACUGCGUUGAAGUAUGCGUGGCUAUGCGUCUCUGCGAGGAGCGGAUGCCGUGCUGGGGCGAAGCGCGAGAAAGGAGGUGAGACGUUUUCUCCACCUUUCCAGUUCCCCCUCUCGCUCAUCCGGCGAACGACUUGACAUAAACACGCAUGCACACAUACACGGGGACGUACGCCGGUGCGCAGACGACGGCGUUUAACGCGGGUAUCGUGUAGUUGAUUCUAAUGCCGAGUUUCACUCCGGACUAAUGGGCAUAAACUAGAGUGUGCGCAUACAUACACCAUGCGCAGAGAUGCACGCACACAUCACGUGUAGGACAGCUAAGGCAGGCCCGUGGAAGUGGGAGACGGCGUGUCGAAGAGGAUGAUUAUGCGGCGGCUUUGGCGAAUGCGCUUGCUUGCUCCGUCAUCACACUCAGAGGCAUGCACAC
rnacentral:misc_RNA from 1 species